AGGGCGUCGUACCCAGCACGACAGGUGAAAUCAGAUCCCUGCAUUCAGAGAGCAGAGACAAACUACAGAGAAAUGCUGCAACAAGCAAUGUUCAACUGCUGUUACAAAAUGUCCUUUCCUUGUCUUCAGGCCUCUGCGAGCAAUGACAAGACCACAAGGAGUUACUUACCCAAAAGGCGUCUUUAAACAUCAAAGAAGGCAUCUCAGCUGUCACUUCCUCAGUUUGCCCUUCGCUUGUAAAACUUCUUGCUUUUAAUAAGGAUUUGUGCAUCUGCAAGCUAAAAUCAACAGAUUAAGGCUGUGUAGACGCUCAGCAAGAUAAUCUGUUUUUAAAACCUCCAGUAACCUGAAUGUCAGUGAGUCAUUCUGCGUGAUCUGAACGAGGAAGAGCUGCUGUCCCAUGAUGUCACUGACCACAGACAGCUCAGCCUCCCUUAUGAAGCACAGUUUCUUUUACUAUCAUUUGCUGCAAAAACAAUUCCAUGACACUGUUCAAUUUCAUUGUUAUUAUGUAAAUCUGUGUGUUUUAUCUGUGGCUUCAGUUUCUUUUAGUGAUGCUUUGGGUUGACCAUAAACAGAAAAACUCAUAUGUUAAAAGUGUGGUUUCACUCUACUUGUACUGGAAAUUCAGCGAAUAAGACCUGAUGCCAUACCAUCUGUCCACCGACCUUUUUUAGGAUGAUUGCUCCUGCAUAUCUUUUAUUCUUUCAAAGUUUGUGACUUAGACAGUAACAAAAGUAAAUGUUUUUUUGCAUAUAUUACAGUGGUGCAUCUCGGAUGUCAUUGAAAAGUAUAUUUAUUUCAGUAAUUUAACUGAAAGAUGUGAAACUCAUAUUUUUUGGAGCGAUUACACACAGAGCCAUGUAUUUUAGGCAUUUAUUGUGAAUUGUGAUGACAGAAUUGUGGGUAAAAAUUCCUCCUAAUACUUAAAGACUGACAAAAUGAGUUAAUUUGAAUAAUCAUUAGCCAAAUGAAAACCACCCUUUCAGUUUCUCAGUGUAUUAUGAUAUUACAUCCAGAAAUGUUAUUUUGUGGCCAUGUUAAGGAAAGUGGUUCCCAAGUCCAGUCCUUGAUUGCAACUAUCCUGCGAUUUUUAGAUGUGUCCCUUUUCCAACACACCAGAAUCAAAUGGCUGACUUCCCUCAUCAGCAUGUCCCACAGCUCUGCAGAAUCCUGGAAACAAGCCAUUAAUAGGUAGGUAAGCCACAUAAGGUCAUUGCUAAACAAGCUGGCUGUUCCCAGAGAGGUGCAUUCUAGCAUAAAUGGAGAGAUGAUUGGAAGGAAGUAAAAAGUGCAGUUGAAAAAUGUGAGUAAAUGUGAGUCA